CAGAUGGUGUGCGAUCUUGGCUAUCGUUUUCUGAACGUGGUGGCAAAGUGGCCAGGAAGUGUGCAUGAUGCCAGGAUAUUUAGAAAAUCCUUACUUUGUCAGCAUUUAGAAAACGGAACUAUUGAUGGAUGUAUCUUGGGUGACAGUGGGUACCCCAGUAGACGUUAUGUGAUGACCCCUUACUUACAAACAAGGAACAGGGCACAGGAAAGAUACAACCGAUCACUACUGAGGACCAGGGUUAUUGUGGAGCAGGCAUUUGGCGUUUUGAAACGUCGCUUUGCUUGCUUGCCGUAUGGCCUGCGAUGCCACCCUGGAAGAUGCUGUAGCAUUAUCAUUGCUACUGUAUUCUUACACAAUUAUGGACUUGACUGUGGUGACAUCUUGGAACCCAAUCAGGAUAUGGAUGUAAAUCAACCCCCCAACAUUGUUCAUCAAGAAAACAACAAUGGAAUUCAAUACAGGGAUAUAUUUGCUGAACGUUAUUUUUCUUAAAAGUUUUCCUUGCAUGUAUAUACAUAUGUGUCGCGUUCUGAAAAAAACUGGGCAUAACGCAUGUACAUAAAGUGUUGUCCCAGAUUAGCCUGUGCAGUCGGCACAGGCUAAUCAGGGACGACACUUUCCGCUUU